CCUACGGGAGGCAGCAGUAGGGAAUCUUUCACAAUGGGCGAAAGCCUGAUGGAGCAACGCCGCGUGCAGGAUGAAGGCCUUCGGGUUGUAAACUGCUUUUAUAAGCGAGAAAUAUGAUGGUAACUUAUGAAUAAGGAUCGGCUAACUACGUGCCAGCAGCCGCGGUAAUACGGAGGAUGCGAGCGUUAUCCGGAUUUAUUGGGUUUAAAGGGUGCGUAGGCGGAAUGCCAAGUCAGCGGUAAAAUCGCGGGGCUCAACCUCGCUCCGCCGUUGAAACUGGCGUUCUUGAGUGGGCGAGAAGUAUGCGGAAUGCGUGGUGUAGCGGUGAAAUGCAUAGAUAUCACGCAGAACUCCGACUGCGAAGGCAGCAUACCGGCGCCCAACUGACGCUGAAGCACGAAAGCGUGGGUAUCGAACAGGAUUAGAUACCCCUGUAGUC
rnacentral:rRNA from 1 species